UUUUUAUUUUUUCUAAUAACAUAAAUAAGUUAAAUUAUAUGUAUAUUAUGUUGUCAUUUAAUUUAUUUGUAUGGAGAUUGGGCCGGAAUCAGUUUUAUUACAAAAAGAAGGAAACUUGACUCGACUGCUGAGAAGGGGGAUACAAUUGUCCCACACCGGGGACAGCGCUGGUUAUUAGUCCUAACUGCGCAACGAAGAAUGUCCCUUCGGGACCUUCGAUAAAAUUGGAACUGAUACAGAGAAGAUUAGCAUGGCUCCUGCGCAAGGAUGACACGCAUAAAUCGAGAAAUGGUUCAAAUUUUCUCCAUGAAAUUGAAUGGAUUUUGAAGCUUUUUCCUUCUGUUUUUUUCCACCCAGUUUGGGUCAAUUGGAAUGCAGAUUGAGGAUCCUUUGGUGUUGGGAAGUAUUUCACGCUUUGGUGGCUCUGUCUCACUGUCUGACAGUCUGAGUUUUCAUAUUCCAGGGUUUUGAGGCUGCAUUUUGAGGAUUUGGGGAUGGAAAAUGGUGAUAAGAUUGCUGGUGGGUCUGAAGUGGUGGAGAACGAGAGCGUGGAAGUUGAGGUUGUUGAGGAGAGGGUUGUUGAGGGGUCUAAUGGACUCAAGGAUGACGCCGAAUAUGAGGUUUUCGAGGAGGCAAUAGAGACACAGGAAAAUUUGCAGGAUCAGGGGAGCAAAAAUAAUUUAGUGGAUGCUACUGCUGUUGGUGAAGAAAGAAAGGCUGAGAUGGUUGGUGGUUUGGAAAAAAAAAAAUUUGUUAACGGGUGACCUAUUAGCUUAACGGGUGACUUAUUAGCUUAACGGGUGACUUAUUAACAUAAUGUAAGCUGUGAUGUAAGCAAAGGAGAGAAGGUUCUGUUGGUUUUCUUCCAAGUUGUGACUUUUGUUUUGGUCCAAGGUGCCGGCUGUGUAGAGAUGCCCCUUGUUAUGAGAUUUUGUCGUGAAGUGGCCUUAAAUGAUUCUUUCUGCUAAACUAUUUUGUUGUGAUUCCACUUGACAAUUGAUCAAAUAAUUUUAUUUGAGGAGCCCCGUGUGUCAAAAUGUAUAUUAUUAUGAAGGAGAUGAGAGUUUGAAAUUAUUACAGUAAUUUAGAAAAUGGGAAUUUUCAAACCCUGAA